rnacentral:rRNA from 1 species
GACGGUAGGGCGCGAGCGUUGUCCGGAUUUAUUGGGCGUAAAGAGCUCGUAGGCGGCUUGUCGCGUCGUCCGUGAAAACCCACAGCUCAACUGUGGGCUUGCGGUCGAUACGGGCGAGGCUGGAGUUCGGUAGGGGAGACUGGAAUUCCUGGUGUAGCGGUGAAAUGCGCAGACUAUCAGGAGGAACACCGGUGGCGAAGGCGGGUCUCUGGGCCGAUA